rnacentral:rRNA from 1 species
UGAAUACGAGACGCUACGGCGUCGAAGCAGUCUAUGUCAUACUUCCAAGAAAAGCUCGCAAUGUCAUAAACAAAUAAUGCCUGUACCAUAACCGACACAGGUGGGUAGGUAGAGUAUACUAAGGGGCGCGAGAUAACUCUCUCUAAGGAACUCGGCAAAAUGACUCCGUAACUUCGGGAGAAGGAGUGCCUUAUUUAUAAGGUUGCAAUAACAAGAUCCAAGCAACUGCUUAUCAAAAACACAGGUCUCCGCUAAGUCGUAAGACGAUGUAUGGGGGCUGACGCCUGCCCAGUGCCAGAAGGUUAAAGAAGUUGGUUAGCAUUCGCGAAGCUGAUAACUGAAGCCCUGGUGAACGGCGGCCGUAACGAUAACGGUCCUAAGGUAGCGAAAUUCCUUGUCGGGUAAGUUUCGACCCGCACGAAAGGCGUAAUGAUUUGGAUACUGUCUCGGAGAGGGGCUCGGUGAAAUAGACUUGUCUGUGAAGAUGCGGACUACCUGCACCUGGACAGAAAGACCCUAUGAAGCUUUACUGUAACUUGAAAUUGAAAUUGGACUUUAUUUGCGCAGCAUAGGUGGGAGGCGUUGAGAGUAUUCUUGCGGGAAUAUUGGAGCCAUCAGUGAGAUACCACUCUUGUAAUGUUAGAUUUCUAACUUUGGAUCAUUAUCUGGUCAAAGAACAGUUUCAGGCGGGCAGUUUGACUGGGGCGGUCGCCUCCCAAAUGGUAACGGAGGCGUACAAAGGUUUCCUCUGAACGGGUAGAAAUCGUAUCUAGAGUGUAAAGGCAUAAGGAAGCUUGACUGUGAGACCUACAAGUCGAGCAGGGACGAAAGUCGGUCUUAGUGAUCUGACGGUGCUGAGUGGAAAGGCCGUCACUCAACGGAUAAAAGUUACUCUAGGAUAACAGGCUGAUCUCCCCCAAGAGUUCACAUCGACGGGGAGGUUUGGCGCCUCGAUGUCGGCUCAUCGCAUCCUGGGGCGGUAGUACGUCCCAAGGGUUGGGCUGUUCGCCCAUGAAAGCGGUACGCGAGCUGGGUUCAGAACGUCGUGAGACAGUUCGGUCCAUAUCCGGUGUAGGCGUUAGAAUAUUGAGAGGAGCCUUCUUUAGUACGAGAGGACCGAGAAGGACAUACCUCUGGUGUACCAGUUACCGUGCCAACGGUAAACGCUGGGUAGCUAUGUAUGGAGAGGAUAACCGCUGAAAGCAUCUAAGUGGGAAGCCCACCUCAAGAUAAGUAUUCUCAC